rnacentral:rRNA from 1 species
UACGUAGGGGGCAAGCGUUAUCCGGAUUCACUGGGUGUAAAGGGAGCGCAGGCGGUACGGCGAGUCUGAUGUGAAAACCCGGGGCCCAACCCCGGGACCGCACCGGAUACUGCCGGACUCGAGUGCCGGAGGGGCAGGCGGAAUUCCCGGUGUAGCGGUGAAAUGCGCAGAUAUCAGGAGGAACACCGGUGGCGAAGGCGGCCUGCUGGACGGUAACUGACGCUGAGGCUCGAAAGCGUGGGGAGCGAACAGG